UUUAAGAAUACUAAGAGGUAUUAUCUUCUUUCUUAGCUUCUAUACAUGUUUAAAUUCCUGUGAUUGAGUUCACUAAAUAGAAAACAGGAACAUGUACACCCCAUUCUAAAUGACUGAGAAAGAAAUGGAUAAACAAGACCAUAUUUAGCAAAGCAUUUUAAUUUGGGGAAGAAACUGAACAAAGAAAAGAAAAAGAACAUUAAUAAUGCUGAACUUCAGUGAACUACAUUUAUUAGCAUCCAUGUUGUUCUCCCAGUUAAUAUAGAGAUAUCUUGUAUUAUACAGAAUAACUGUCACCCAUGUUUCCAUUUAUGACAACAUUCUGAAAAUAUUCCGAUUUGCUCAAAGCAGAGAUCAUCGAUGCCAGCUGAUUGAGUGCACUAACCUUCCCAGAUCUAUACAUGUGCAUGCUUGUAUAUGUAUAAAUGUAUACAGUGGUCACACCUCUGAGACUUUUUGGCUGCUGGUCAUCAACGACUCUUGGUCAGAACACAUCCUGACAAGACAGUUAAACAUAAACAAAGAGCUCUGUAACAAGUGCAACAAGAAGAGCAUCAUUUUUUUGUGAGCACACUUUGAUACUCCGUGGAGAAAUGCAUUGCCCCCAGGAUGAAACAAGGUUAAAUAAAUCACAAGCACCAUUCUACUGGAGUCAAGGUUACAGCAAAGAAAGAAGGAGUUGGUGAAGAUUGAGGAUGUAGACAGCUGCCUAUCCCACUUCUUCUGAAGGUGCCGAACAAUAGACGCUACAGGUAGCUCUGGAUAUUUGAUUCAGCUCUUGCAGCAAUGAGAAAGAAGGCACAACAAGGAGAUCUUCUGGAAUACUAGCAGAAGUUCAUUUCCUGUCUUAGGAUAUUCAUUGACCUUUUGACGUUGGCCAUUUUGCUUUUUAGUUUUUCAGGUGGGCGACCCAAAGAAUACACAUGGAGAAAAAAGAAGAGAACAACAUGGCCUUGCUCAUCAAGAUUACAAUCCUGUAUCACAUGUCCGUGAUUCCUGAGGAGCUGUUAUUCUGAGCCUCAUUAUUCUUUAUGAGAUUAAUAAAAUUAUUGAAUAUUA
rnacentral:lncRNA from 1 species